UACAGAGGUCUCAAGCGUUGUUCGGAUUCAUUGGGCGUAAAGGGUGCGUAGGCGGCGCGGUAAGUCGGGUGUGAAAUCUCGGAGCUUAACUUCGAAACUGCAUUCGAUACUGCCGCGCUUGAGGACUGGAGAGGAGACUGGAAUUUACGGUGUAGCGGUGAAAUGCGUAGAUAUCGUAAGGAAGACCAGUGGCGAAGGCGGGUCUCUGGACAGUUCCUGACGCUGAGGCACGAAGGUCAGGGGAGCAAACGGG
rnacentral:rRNA from 1 species